rnacentral:rRNA from 1 species
UACGUAGGGUGCGAGCGUUGUCCGGAAUUAUUGGGCGUAAAGAGCGUGUAGGCGGUUAUACAGGUCCGCUGUGAAAACUGGAGGCUUAACCUCCAGACGUCGGUGGAAACCGUAUGACUAGAGUCCGGAAGAGGAGAGUGGAAUUCCUGGUGUAGCGGUGAAAUGCGCAGAUAUCAGGAAGAACACCCGUGGCGAAGGCGGCUCUCUGGGACGGUACUGACGCUGAGACGCGAAAGCGUGGGGAGCGAACAGG